UUGGUCAGACUGCUGAUGACAGGGAGGGAGCAAGGUCCUGCCUGAAUACGUGAUAAGGGCUUUAUAAAAUAUGCUGUCUUCUACAGCGUUCUCAACUGGUUAUAUUUUUAAUUUGUUUUUUAUAACCUUCAGGCUGCAAUGAUGUGGACAAUGAGAGUAAUGUUUGUCUUUUUUUGGUGUUACUGUAUUCAGCAUGGCGUUAUCGCAACAACACCCUCUUCCCGAGCCACCUCCCUACAUGGAGUACCAGGGAAUAUUGUUCCCAGCAAAUAAUGUUAAAAGGGAAAGCCUGGAAGCGAUGAAGACGUUUGAAAUACGUGACGAUGAUGUGGUGAUAGUGAGCUAUCCUAAAAGUGGUAUGAACUGGAUGUUCGAAGUUGUGCAUAAGAUUCUUGGUGGAAAGAAGGAAAACGCAUCACCAUUUGGACCUGAAAUUUGGCUUCCAGGUCAAGAGCCACGCCACAUCCAGCUGCGUGAGACUCCAUCCCCUCGACUCAUGUAUACUCAUCUCCAACACCAACUGGCACCUCCAGGGUUGGCAGCUCCAGUCAACAAGGUGAAAGUCAUUGUCAUCCUGCGAAACAUCAAGGAUGUCUGUGUGUCUUUCUACUACCACCUACAAAAAGCUCCUUAUUGGAAGACUCCAGAAUCUUGGGAGCAGCAUAUUAACUACUGCAUGGAUGGAAAAAUGAUCUAUGGUGACUGGUUUGAUCACGUGCUGGGCUGGUGGCAAAUGAAGGAUAACCCCCACUUUCUCUUUGUCAAGUACGAGGAUAUGAAAAAGGAUUUUCGCUCGUCAGUGAAGACUAUAGCAGCCUUCUUAGAGAAAGAACUGACCGAUGAACAUCUGGCCAGUGUUAUGAACAGCUGCAGCUUGGAGUCAAUGAGGAAGACUUUGGCAGAGACUGGUACAUGGAGAAAGAACAUUGUCAGGAAUGGUAUGGUCGGGGAUUGGAAGAACCACUUCUCGGCCGAGGAGAGCGCCAGGUUUGACCAGAAGUACCGGGAACGGAUGGCGGGAACAGGGCUGGUGUUUGACUUUGAGUAGCGGCCCAAAUAGCCUGAACCUUUACUUAGAAAUAUAACAUCUACUUAAAAUAACGUUGCUCAAGUAUUCACAUGUAUUUUGGUACGUUUUGUGGUAGUGCAAAAUGAGCAGAAGUACGGAAGAACGGAUGAAAGAAACAAGGCUGGAGUUUGAGUUUGAGUAGCGGCCCAAAUAGCUUGUAAUGUUAUUACCCCCCCCCCCCAUCCUAAUAGAUCAGCCCAGCAGGUGACAUCCAUUUAAGAGGUCACCUACAGGUCAUAACAUGGCAACGGUCAUAAUUUUCUAGGUAUUAGAAAUAUCCAUGCUUCUGUGCAGCCUUGCAGAAAUCUUGACCUUGACUUGAAUUUUCCCAGGGAAAAGUCAAGUCAAUAAACAAGCUACGGUUAGACAAGGUGUACCUUCUGCGCAACUCCGGAAAUAAGGUCUCUCCCCGUAUGGGAGGUGGGAAAUACACAAAUUAUCUGGUUUGGUAAGCCCUGAUUGGGUAGUAAGAGUAUCCAUGCUUACCUGAUUGGUUAAUUAGAGUUGCCAAUUGUUCACCUAAGUUGAGCUUGGACUUUGUGGGAGUCAUAGUGAGUUGGUGCCCGUGGGACUUCAGCAUGGCGUUAUCGCAAGAACACCCUCUUACCGAGCCACCUCCCUACAUGGAGUACCAGGGAAUAUUGUUCCCAUGUAAUGUUACAAUGGAAACCCUGGAAGCGAUGAAGACGUUUGAGAUACGUGACGAUGAUGUGGUGAUAGUGAGCUAUCCCAAAAGCGGUAUGAAUUGGAUGUUCGAAGUUGUGCAUCAGAUUCUUGGCGGAAAGAUGGAAAACUCAUCACCAAUAGGACUUGAGUUUUGGCCUCGUGGAAACAGACAACCCCGCUACAUCCAGCUGCGUGAGACUCCAUUUCCUCGGCUGAUGUAUACUCAUCUCCAACAUCAAAUGGCACCUCCAGGAUUGGCAGCUCCAGUUAACAAGUUUAGUCUAGUCUAUAUCGUGGUACCUCAAAUAUCAUCUAUUUAGUCUGCAUUUCACGUACUUACGUGUUACUCUUAGACUGACAUAUCUACUGAAACAUGUCAGAGAAAACACAAGUUGGUCCCCAAAUCUAUGUAAGAAGCCUAGCUACUUAUUGAAGCCUCUGACAAUGAACUUAUAUGUUCUGUAGGUGAAAGCCAUUGUCGUCCUGCGAAACCCCAAGGAUAUCUGUGUGUCAUCCUACUACUUCAGUCAGAAAUCUGACCAUCUAAAGACCCCAGACUCUUGGGAGCAGCACAACAAGGUCUUCUUCGAUGGAAAAAUGCCCUACAGUGGUGACUACUUUGAUCACGUCCUCGGCUGGUGGCAAAUGAGGAAUGACCCCCACUUCCUUUUUGUCAAGUACGAAGAUAUGAAAAAGGAUUUUCGCUCGUCAGUGAAGACUAUAGCAGCCUUCCUGGAGAAAGAACUGACCGAUGAACAUCUGGCCCUUAUCCUGAACAGCUGCAGCUUGGAGUCAAUGAGGAAGACAUUGGCAGAGUCUGGUACAUGGAGAAAGAACG